rnacentral:rRNA from 1 species
GAUGAACGCUGGCGGCGCGCCUAACACAUGCAAGUCGAACGGCACCUGCCUUCGGGCAGAAGCGAGUGGCGAACGGCUGAGUAACACGUGGAGAACCUGCCCCCUCCCCCGGGAUAGCCGCCCGAAAGGACGGGUAAUACCGGAUACCCCGGGGUGCCGCAUGGCACCCCGGCUAAAGCCCCGACGGGAGGGGAUGGCUCCGCGGCCCAUCAGGUAGACGGCGGGGUGACGGCCCACCGUGCCGACAACGGGUAGCCGGGUUGAGAGACCGACCGGCCAGAUUGGGACUGAGACACGGCCCAGACUCCUACGGGAGGCAGCAGUGGGGAAUCUUGCGCAAUGGGGGGAACCCUGACGCAGCGACGCCGCGUGCGGGACGGAGGCCUUCGGGUCGUAAACCGCUUUCAGCAGGGAAGAGUCAAGACUGUACCUGCAGAAGAAGCCC